rnacentral:rRNA from 1 species
UACAGAGGGUGCGAGCGUUAAUCGGAUUUACUGGGCGUAAAGCGUGUGUAGGUGGCUACCUAAGUCGAUUGUGAAAUCCCUGGGCUCAACCUGGGAAUUGCAGUCGAUACUGGGAAGCUCGAGUUCGGUAGAGGACGGCGGAAUUCCCGGUGUAGCGGUGAAAUGCGUAGAUAUCGGGAGGAACAUCGAUGGCGAAAGCAACCGUCUGGGCCUGAACUGACACUGAGACACGAAAGCUAGGGGAGCAAACGGG